AUGGACAUGCGGUGGCCUGCGGUGGUGGGGGCCGCGGGGGCGGCGGGGGUGGAGUCCGGCGGGUGGCUCUGGCGAGGGAGAGGGACGGGGAUCUGGCUAGAGGGAGAGGGAGGAGUUAGCUAG
rnacentral:rRNA from 1 species